rnacentral:lncRNA from 1 species
AGAAUUUAAGAAAUAUAAAAUUUUUGAGUUGAUAUCAACAAUUUGAUCAUUAGUUGUUGAGGUUCUAAUUUUCUAUAGGAUUUGAUUUAGAAUUUAUCUAUAAUUUGAUUAGGACUUAGAAUUUGAUUUAAGGUUUGAUUACGAUUAGGAUUUGCUUAAGAUUUGAUUUAGAACUUAACUAGAAAUUAUUUAGGAUUUUCUUGAGGUUUAAUUUAGAACUUAAUUAGGAAUUAUUUAGGAUUUAUUUAGGAUUUGAUAUAAGAUUUAAUUCAGAUUCAAUUAGAAUUUCAAUUUAGAUUUGACAUAGGAUUUGUUUAACUUUUAAUUAGGAUUUUGAUUAGGAUUUGAUCUAGGAUUUGGUUAAGAUUCAAUUAGGAUUUUAAUUUAGAUUAUAUUAGAAUUU